UGAUGGGUAAGGGCUUGAGUUUUGGGGUUGCACAGCUUGUGGGGACCCCACCUCAUUUCCUAGCUAGGCAGACCUGGCCCAGUGUCUGACCUUUCCCAUCUGUAAAUUAGGGGUGCAAAUAGCAUCCACCUCCGGGGUGUGGUGAAGGUGGAGCCAGUACCCAGCCAGUCCAGCUCUUUUUUGUUAGGAUUGCCCCACUGCGGCCACACCCUUCCAUCUGCCCGCUCCUGUUCCCGCAGGUAGACUCAGCCUGUGGGAUUCUGGCCUGGCUUCCCGGCAGCAAGCAGGAGCUUCAGAUGCUCAUUCCCGCCGCGGUCGGCUGUGGCGGCGACUCAUACCCGUUUCCGCUCGAAUGAUGCCAGCUGUCCUGCUGCGCCACCUUCCUCUGUCCUCGCAUCCGCUGAUGGGAUUUCCGGUCGCUUCCACUUUGUGGCUCUUUUGAAGAAUGCCGCUAGGAACAUUCACACGCAGGUUCUUGGCCAUAAAAUAUGGCUUUUGGAAAAAUAAAGCUGAGACUUGGAGUUCACGGUGGGGGCUCCCCCAUCUGUGAACAGAAGCAGAAGUUUGGAACUGCCUUCUUUACUGCUCGAGAGGGAAAACUUGAGUGAAAACCAGGAUGCUGGCGAAUGUUGAGUAGCUAAGCUGCACAGGAAAUACCACUUGAUGACCUGCGAUCUGGGGAAGCCGCGCCAGGGCUCUGCGAAGCUGCGGACGAGGGAGGCGUCAGUGUGGGGGCUGCAGCUCAGCUCCGGGGGGGACGCGCCUUUCUCCACGGGACCUGGGGCUCAGGUGCUCACGAGGCUGGGGCGCUGCAGGCCACCCGCAGGGGAAACUGAGGCCCUCCAUUUUGUGGGGCUGGAAGACCUUUCCUUCCAAAAGCAGGUGUAGGCGGGAGCACCUGUGCAGUCCCUCUGUUCAGAUCCUCACCCACUUUUAAAUCAGGAAACAGCAGAUGAAAUGCACAGUGUGAAGGACAAGGAUUCUGCUGAGAGAAUUGCUCCGAGGGUUGCUCAAGUGAUCAUGGGAAAUAAUGCAUCAAACCAUUCUUUAGAUGCAGCUCAGGUGUGCCUUUUCUUCGCCUGUGCCCAUCCACCUGAGAUGGACCAUAACCAUAAAAGUCAGAAGGCACUGACCCUUCAGGACGUGACAGGGUUAAAAGAUGCUGGAGGGAAAGUCUGUCAUUGACUUUUAUUCACUUCCUUUCUCCAUUCUGCCAUUUGGAAGAAGGCUGGAGUGCAAUGGCGCGAUCUCGGCUCACUGCAACUUCCGCCUCCCAGGUUCAAGUGAAUCUCCUGCCUCAGCCUUCCGAGUAGCUGGGACUACAGGCACGUGCCACCAUGCCCAGCUAAUUUUUGUAUUUUUAGUAGAGAUGGGGUUUCACCAUGUUGGCCAGGAUGGUCUUGAUCUCUUGACCUCAUGAUCUGCCCGCCUCAGCCUCCUAGAGUGCUGAGAUUACAGGCGUGAGCCCCCGUGCCUGGCCUUGAAUGGGAUUAGUGUUUUAAAGAGGCCUGAGAGAGACUCCUGGCCACUUUUGCCUUAUGAGGACACAGUGGAAAGGUCCCAUCCCUGAACCAGGAAAUGGGCACUUACCAGACACUGAAUCUGCCUGCAGCUUGACCUUGAACUUCCCAGCCUCCAGAACUCUGAGGAAUAAAUUUCUGUUAUGUGAUAAGCCAUUCAGUCUGUG
rnacentral:lncRNA from 1 species